rnacentral:rRNA from 1 species
GACGGAGGAUGCAAGCGUUAUCCGGAAUGAUUGGGCGUAAAGCGUCCGCAGGUGGCAGUUCAAGUCUGCUGUCAAAGACCGGGGCUUAACUUCGGAAAGGCAGUGGAAACUGAACAGCUAGAAUAUGGUAGGGGCAGAGGGAAUUCCUGGUGUAGCGGUGAAAUGCGUAGAGAUCAGGAAGAACAUCGGUGGCGAAGGCGCUCUGCUGGACCAUAACUGACACUCAGGGACGAAAGCUAGGGGAGCGAAUGGG